CUCUCUCUCUCUCUCUCUCUCUCUCUCUCUCUCUCUCUCUCUCUCUCUCUCUCUCUCUGUCUCUGUAUCUGUCUCUCUCUCUCUCUCUCUCUCUCUCUCUCUCUCUCUCUCUCUCUCUCUCUCUCUCUCUCUCUCUCUCAACAAAACACAAACUCGCUGUAAUGAACCUGCCUGUGGCCAUUCCUCCAUGUGACAUGCUGAAGAUAGAGAGCAGAAAAGGAGAGACAUCCUUGUCUCAGGGUCCUUCCUAGGUGUGUGACAUGGUUAAAAAGAGAGGUGGAUAGGCUGAAUUUUUUUUUUUUUACUUUCUGCAACAGAGGUGGAUAGGCUGAAUCUGGGUCGUGUUCAUUAGGGCACACCGUAGAAAAACUUUUUUUUAACUUUCUGCAUCAGAGGUGGAUAGGCUGAAGCUGGGUUGUGUUCAUUUGGCCACAAAGUAGCCAAAUGUUUCUGUUACAAACUACCAGAUACUGGGGUAGCUGUAUGAAUCCACUGUCAAAUGUGACACAUCGUCUUUCUUUUCUUCUUCUGGUUUUUUCUCUCUCCAUCGUUACCCAGAUUCAGAAUUUGGAGGCAAAAGCUAUUUUUUUAUUAUCUCGAGCUCUUAAAAUACCAGAAUUGUAUAAAAAAAAUAUAGAUGAGUAUUUAUACCAAAAGUAUAUUAUGUAAAGUAAAGGGUCCCUGAGGAGGAGGUCUGAUGGAGGCCUGGCACAUGCUCUGCAGAUUGUAGGUAGUAGGCCUAGCUAGCCAGGUUUAGCUAGCCUAGCAUCCCGUUGGCUAGCCAGGUUUAGCUAGCCAGGUUUAGCUAGACUAUCGUCCCCUUGGCUAGCCAGGUUUAGCUAGCCUAGCGUCCCGUUGGCUAGCCAGGUUUAGCUAGCCUAGCGUCCCGUUGGCUAGCCAGGUUUAGAUAGCCUAGCGUCCCGUUGGCUAGCCAGGUUUAGCUAGCCUAGCGUCCCGUUGGCUAGCCAGGUUUAGCUAGCCUAGCGUCCCGUUGGCUAGAGGCUGUGUGUACAUUACAUUCAUAGGGCCAGUGAAUAGAAUGCAUAUUUUGUUUUUAUAUCAGAGUGUUAAAUCCGUGUAAUAUGUAAUAAACAACUUUACCAAAUGAG